UGCAAAGCUACGCCAGAGGAAAUUUAAACUGGGCCUUGGGAAGCAUUUCUUUAGAGAGGGAGCAGUCAAGAACUGGAAUAGGCUCCUCAGAGUGGUGGAUGCCCCAUCCCUGUCUGUGUUUAAGAGGCAUUUAGAAAAUGCCCCUGAUAACAUGCUUUAGCCUUUGGUGAGCCCUGAAGAGGACAAGCAGUGGACUAGUGGUCUUCUGUGCCUGAUAAUCCAAGUAGCACCCCUGGGCUGGUGCAAGGCUUUGCUUGCUGGCCAUCCACCCCUCUCUGUGGAGCAAGACCUGAGCUGGUGCAGAAGCAGGGCUGUGACAAGGUGUCAGCAAGCAAACUGGAAAAUCUGCAUUUCUGGACAACCUG